GCAACUUGCAGUUGUUUUAAUAAAAUUGGUUCCUUAGGUUAUUUGCCCUUCUUCUUGAAGGGCUUUUUUUUAGAAUUUUUU
rfam:Haemophilus pittmaniae HK 85 ctg1129913985444, whole genome shotgun sequence.